UUUUCAACAACUUUGCGGCUCGUGAAGUCGGUUUCUUCCCACCUCACGUGUUUCGGGAGAUUGGCAGCGCACGCUUCUUCUGCACCAACUGCGGUGGUUUGUGGUCCAAAGAGCAAAAGCAUUGGACGGACCGAUUGAUUCGACCGUUUCUCGGCUGUCGGACGGUACCGUUCGACGUGCAUUGUAAAGGAAUUCGUCUCGUAAAGCAACAAGAACAAGAAGAAGAAGAAGAAGAUGGAGGAGAUGGAUCAUCAGUGUCACUCUGUGACUGAAGAAGACUAUUACGAAUGGCUACUGACGGGAGAUCUGCCCUUGGUCCUAACCUUCAAGCCUCCUCCGAAGACGUUCUUUUUGCGGAUUGGUGAUCAGCUGAGAACCUGUCGUUGCGGUGGACUUUGGUCGAGAAACCCCAGCCAUUGGUUAGACUCGAGCCUUCGCCCGUAUUUGGGCUGUCUUCCCGGCUACGAAACCAAAGCUGGAGGCUAACUCUCUCUCUCUCUCUCUCUCAUGUAACCUCUCACGAUA